UACGAAGGGGGCUAGCGUUGCUCGGAAUCACUGGGCGUAAAGCGCACGUAGGCGGCUUUUUAAGUCAGGGGUGAAAUCCUGGAGCUCAACUCCGGAACUGCCUUUGAUACUGGGAAGCUUGAGUCCGGGAGAGGUGAGUGGAACUCCGAGUGUAGAGGUGAAAUUCGUAGAUAUUCGGAAGAACACCAGUGGCGAAGGCGGCUCACUGGCCCGGUACUGACGCUGAGGCGCGAAAGCGUGGGGAGCAAACAGG
rnacentral:rRNA from 1 species